CCUCUCAACGUGCGCUCCUCUUAACGUGCGUCUGCACAGCUGCUUGUGUGGCACAGCUGCUUGUGUGUUCUUCCGCCAAUGUGUGCAACUGCUUGUGUGUUCUUCCGCCAAUGUGUUCCUCUCGACGUCCAGCCACUUCUGUGCCUGCCUGCCUGUCUUGGGGUUUUUACAGGCACAGGAUAGGGGACGUGGCAGGCCAGGUGGUCUUGGAAAAUGCAAACUUGGGCAUGAAAACAGGAGCGCUUGUCCUCCCCUAUAUGCGUGUGCACAGGACCUGAGGUGAAGCCCUAGCCAGGGACCUGCCCUUCUCUACCCAGCGCUUUCCUUCUCUCAUCCCGAGUCAGUACUGUGAGUAUUAGAAAACAAAAAUUUGUUUUGUUUAAAACUCUAUAAAAUAACAAUAUUACAGUCUCUAUUAAAGCAGUGCAAAGUAUUCUCUUCUGUUUGUCAUUGGACACAGUCCAUUUUUAGCAGGCUGGAGGAUUUUAGUGCAUUGAUAUUUGUUCCUGCAGAAAGUAAUGGCAUAUCGCAAGAAGCUAUUACCCAGUAUGAACCGCCGUGCUCUGGAGUCCACAGUGGCUGCAGCCUGGAAAGUUUCUUGUAGCCACAGGACAUCUGGUGUAUCUCAUAGCAUACAGCUCCACCCAUCAGACUUCCGGUGGGGAGGGGUGUGGGUGCCCAGCAUGAGGAAAUGCUCACUAGUUCUUACGUUUCACUUAAAAAUGAUACGUGCCAUAUUAAGUCACAUUUCACUGGCUCCAGGAAGUCACUCUGCUGCCCCUGACUUCAAGAUAGUUGAGAAGUGAGAUCCAAUCCUGUGUCCAGAAGUGAACAUUUGAAAACAGUGUUGCUGCCGAUUUCAGGCACAGAACGAGAACUUGGGACCUACAAAAUGGCACCACUGAAAGAUCCGUAACACAACCAGAGCUGAAAUGCCUCUUGCUCACCACAUUGUGAGUGACAAGAAAGAGAGAAGAGAGGAGAAAAGAGCUGUGGCCCAGAUCUAGGAGACACGUCUGUGACACCCUCUUUGGAGCGCUGUAGUUUCUGGCAUCUUCAAGCUUCCAGGUGUUCCACCGCAUUCCCUGGUGCCCUCUGUGGAAGCUGCUUGCAGUGCACCUGUUUCAGCUACAGGCUCAGAGGGCACCAGUGCCCUUGCUGGUGCCUGGAGCUGCCUGCCCUGCUGCAGCCAGCAUGCAAGGCUGUGCACAGUGGCUGAACCCUGUGCUUGCUCGCUCACACACCCCUCACUGCUCUGUUCCUGCUUACCCUUGGCAGGCAUGGAAUCCAGUUCAGCAGUGCGAGCCAAGCACAACCUACCAGGUCAAGUGUACAGAAUGAGUCCAGCAGGCCUGAGCAAAACUCAGGCAAAGGCACCAUGGGCCACAGAGGUUUCUGGCUGGAAAGGCAACACCCCAAGCAUCCUGCGACAAUACUACCCAAAUCAAUUUAUAGAUUAAAUGCUAUUCCUAUCAAACUACCAAUAACAUUCUUCAAAUAACUAGAAAAAAAGUAUUUUACAAUUCACAUGAAACUAAAAAUGAGACCAAAUAGACAAGGCGAUACUAAGCAAAAAGAACAAAACUGGAGGUAUUGUAUUACCUGACUUCAAACUACUAUACGGCUAGAGUAACCGAAACAGCAUGUACCGAUAGAAAAACAGACACACAGACCAAUGAAACAGAAAAGAGAGCCCAGUAAUAAUGCUGCACAUCUAUAGCCAUCUGAUCUUCAACAAAACUGACAAAAAUAAGCAAUGGAGAAUGGACUCACUAUUCAAUAAAUAGUUCUGGUAUAACUCACUAGCCAUAUGCAGAAGAUUGAGACUGAACUCCUUCCUUACACCAUAUACAAAAUCAACUCAAUAUGGGUUAAAGACUUAAAUAUGAAACCUAAAACUAUUAAAACCCUGGAAGAUAACCUAGGAAAUACCAUUUUGGACAUAGAAAUUGACAAAGAUUUAAUGAUGAAGACACCAAAAGCAAUUUCAACAAAAGCAAAAAUUGACAUGUGAGACCUAAUUAAACUAAAGAGCUUCUGGACAGCGAAAGAUACUGCCAACGGGGUAAACCGACAAUCUACAGAAUGGGAAAAAUAUUUGCAAACUAUGCAUUCAACAAAGGUCUAAUAUCCAAAAUCUAUCAGGAACUUAAAUAAAUUUACAAGCAAAAACAAACAACCCCAUUAAAAAGUGGGCAAAAGAAAUGAACAGACACUUUUCAGAAGAAGGCACACAUGUGGCCAAGAAGUAUAUGAAAAAAUCCUCAAUGUCAGAAAUGAUCUAAAUCAAAACCACAGUGAGAUACUAUCUGGCACUAGUUAGAAUGGCUAUUAUUAUAAAAUUAAAAAACAACAGAUUGGUGAGGUUGCAGAGAAAAGUGAAAAUUUAUAGACUGUUGGUGAGAGUAUAUUUAAUAAAUUAGUUCAGCCAUUGUGGAAAGCAGUGUGGCAAUCCCUCAAAGAACUAAAAACAAAAUUACCGUUUGACCCAACAAUCCCCAUUAUUGGGUAUACAGCCAAAGAAAUAUAAAUCAUUCUGUCAUAAAGAUACAUACACAUGUAUGUUCAAUGCAGCACUUUUCACAAUAGCCAAGAUAUGGAAUCAAUCUAAAUGCCCAUCAAUGGUAGAUUGGAUAAAAAAAAUAUGGUACAUAUACACCAUGGAAUAGUAUGCAGCCAUUAAAAUAGUGAGAUCACGUCCUUUCUAGCAACAGGGAUGUUCCUUAGUAAACUAAUGCAGGAACAGAAAGAUCCAAAUACCACAUGUUAUCACUUAUAAGUAGGAGCUAAAUGAUAACAUCACAUGAAUACAAAAAGCAGAACAACAGAUACUAGGCAGACUAGAGGGUGGAGGGUUGGAGGAGGGCAAGGAUCAGAAAAAUAUUGGUGCCAUGAUACCCAUUCAGUACUAUGCUCAGUACCUGUGUGACAAAAUAAUCUAUACAGCAAAACCCCAUGACAUGAGUUUACCUAUGUAACAAACCUGUACAUGUGCCCCUGUAUCUAGAAUAAAAGUUAAAAGAAAUCUAAAAAAAAGACUUUUCCUAAUCAGAAAUUUUAUUUCUUCUCCCAUGCUCCUGUGACUCCAACCUGUUUUGAGGGCCUCCAUAUACCCCUUUCUUUGUCGUUGUCAGACACAUGCAGAGGACCCAUUGAAAGUCUCUAGGAUCUAAAGAAUAACUGAGCCAUGUAAUGGAAACAGCCACUGUCUUUCUGAAAUGCAGAACUCUCAACUGAUUUUCAGUGGACAAUUGUUUUGUGAUAAACCACAACAUUUUUGCGAUAAAUCAUAAAUGUAUGGUACCUUUUUAUUACUAAUUGUAGUAACAAGCAAGUUACAUUACAAUAAACAUGAGUUAUACUACCAUAAUUAGUAUAUUUAGUGGAAGAAAGUUUAAUUACAACAAUAAAGUCCUUCAUAGAUGGAUUGGCUAGCACAAUAGACUAAAUGAAAAGAGAUAUUUUUUAUUUUUAUUUUUUGCCAUAAAGAUAAUGUCUGUGAAUAUUCAACAAAAUUUAGCACAAAAGUAGAAAUAGAUAAAAAUUAUAAAAUAAAUGCUAAUGGUUAUGAGAAAUCCCCGCUAUAGUUACAGGAAUGUAAAAUUAGUUCCAGAAAGCAAGAUAUGUGAGAAUGAAGAGGAAAAAAAUUACUGGAGAAAUUCUGAGAAAAAAAUUCAGUUCGCUAGAGUAAUAUAUAGAAUUUCAAAUGUAAAUUACUCAUCCAAUAAUAAGCAGAAUAAAUUAACUACAUUAGACUCGUCCUUGGGAAAUAUAGCAUUCCAAAGACAAGUGGAUUCUAAAUUUUUAUGAAAGAGGAACAAAAAUGAAUCAAUUUAUUUCAAAGUUUCAGUAGUUGCACUUUCACCAGAUUUCCUUUUAGUAAUACUGAGUACAACAACAAAGGCCUUCAAAGGGAUGAGAAAAAAUAAUUUUCACUCCAGAAGUGUAUUCAUUCAAAUUGCAGAAUGAGUGUCAGGAAACAAGAAAACAUUUGCAGACAUACAAGGCUGAAAGGUUUUUUGUUUAUAAUUUCUAUGAAAGAUAUGACAUCAUGUACUUAAAAAAAUGAAAAACAAGAAAGAAAUACUUGGAGAAAACUAGGAGGUAGUGAAGGGAAGUCACUGCUUGAUAGCUCUGAAAUAUACCAAGAUUCUGUGGAUGCAGAUUGGUAUCGAGAAGGGAAAUUCUCAAUAUAGAAGGUAGAUGAAUGCUGAAAAAAGUAAAAUUGAGGAAAAUUUUUUUUAAAUUAUUAGAGAUUUAAAUUAAACUAAAGUGAACUAAAACUAAAAGUAAACUAAAAUAUAACAUGGCAUUAAUUGAUUGAUGCAAGGAUUAAGAAAAUCUUUUGACCCUGAUGCUAUUACCUUUGCCUUUGAAUAACAAAAGUCAAUUUAUGAUUAACUGCUUGGCCCAAGAGAAACAAAUAUUAUGUGGAUUUAAUAAUAAAUAUAAUAAAUUUGUUUUUUUUCACCUUUGGAAUCAACUGAUAAACAAAGCUCAGAAAUCUCAAUAAUGAGUCCAGAACAUACUGAAAUAGUAAAAUCUUGAGAAUGUAAACAUAAAGACAUCACUGACGGACGGUUAUCAGUGGGAGAGCCAUAAAAGUUUAAGCAAAUAAGAAUACUAAUACCAUCACCAUACAUAGAUAGAAUCAAAAUAUUGAAGAACAUAAUAAAGGUUUAAGUAUUUAUAGUAAACAAAAACAUAAACAUUGAUAUAACAAUUUAACUUUGGGAAAAAAAGAAAGAAAUGAAAUGAAAAUCAUGUAAGUGAGCUAUGGUUUCUCACCGUGUUCAGUAAAGUCAAUCUAUAACUUCAAGAUGUAAACACAUUGUUUACUAUUAUGAAGAUAUAUAGGAGAGGGAUUUUUUUUACAAAAAAAGAUUUUAAAGAAGUUAUAUCAGGUGUAUUAAUUUAAUUAUUUUCUAUUUAGUGUAUUUAUGCAAAUAAAACACAUUAGAUAUUAACAUUUUUAUAUAAAUAUGAAUACUAUUAAUAAAAUGAAAUAUAUCUGAAAUAUUUGGAGAAGAUUUUGCACCUAACCAACAGAAGACUGGUAUCCAGAAUGCAUAAUCCAAAAGAAAAAACAAGGCUAUGAUUAUAUACAGGAAAAUUAGAUGUAGAUUUAUAAACUACAUGGAUAUAAUAACAAAUAUCUUUAAUAUUUAGUUAUAUUUAUUAACAUUAUUUAUAUAAUGUUCAAGGUUACUUGCAAAAGCAAAUAUGAACAAUAAGUAUUUUGUUUUGCUCACUCUUUUGCAAAAGUUUUAAAAUACAGAGAAACUAGGAAUUUGAUAAAAUGCUGGUGAACCAGGAAAUUUAUAUCAUUUCUACAAGGAAAUCCAUCAUUAACCAGCUGACCUUAAAACUCAAAAUGUUCAUGCAUAGUAAAUACAAUACUGAGAAACCCUUCCUAUAAAAGUACCUUCUUGUUAAACAAACAUGCAGGUUUUUAAAAAAAAUUCUUUUUUUUUUUGCUUCUAUAAACAUUUAGAAACAAUAUAAAUAUAAAUCAAUAGGAGAGGCUUCAAAUAAUAUGUCAUGAUAUAGAAUAGCAUGGAACUGUUAUAAACAGCAAAGCAGAAUGUUCCACAAAAUUUCAAAAAAAGGUUUUUU
rnacentral:lncRNA from 1 species